AGUGAACGCUGGCGGUAGGCCUAACACAUGCAAGUCGAACGGCAGCACAGUAAGAGCUUGCUCUUACGGGUGGCGAGUGGCGGACGGGUGAGGAAUGCAUCGGAAUCUACUUUUUCGUGGGGGCUAACGUAGGGAAACUUACGCUAAUACCGCAUACGACCUACGGGUGAAAGCAGGGGAUCUUCGGACCUUGCGCGAUUGAAUGAGCCGAUGUCGGCUUAGCUAGUUGGCGGGGUAAAGGCCCACCAAGGCGACGAUCCGUAGCUGGUAUGAGAGGAUGAUCAGCCACACUGGAACAGAGACACGGCCCAGACACCUACGGGAGGCAGCAGUGGGGAAUAUUGGACAAGGGGCGCAAGGCGGAUCCAGCCAUACCGCGUGGGUGAAGAAGGCCUUCGGGUUGUAAAGCCCUUUUGUUGGGAAAGAAAAGCAGCAGGUUAAUACCCCGCUGUUCUGACGGUACCCAAAGAAUAAGCACCGGCUAACUUCGUG
rnacentral:rRNA from 1 species